rnacentral:tRNA from 1 species
GGCAGCGUGGCCUGAUGGCAAGAGCCCGGGCCUGGGAGUCAGAGGACCUGGGUUCUAAUCCCGGCUCUGCCA